UUUAAUGGGGUUGUUGUGAGGAGCUUUAACUAGUUGCUCGCGUUUGGAUGAUGAGAAGCUUUGUCUACCCGGUCUCUUCCAGUCAGAAUGCGGUAGGUUGUCAUGUUCUCGAAUGUUAGUCCGACUUUUGGAUGCCCCAGGGUUGUACCGUUAGCAACUUCAAACAUUGUAUUUCCCAUGACAAACAGUUUCGAUUACAUUUGCGCAUACCAACCUAGGUAACAACAAAACUGAAAAAACGAC
rnacentral:lncRNA from 1 species